rnacentral:rRNA from 1 species
AGCUUAUUGAUUUUUAUAAUAAGUGUUUUCUGCCCAAUGUUGACUUAUUAAUGGCCGCGGUAUUCUGACCGUGCGAAGGUAGCGUAAUCAUUUGCCUUUUAAUUGGGGGCCUGUAUGAAAGAAAGUUUGAGGUUUUUGCUGUCUUUUUUAGUUCUAGAAUUUGCUAUUUUUGUGAAGAAGCAAAAGUUUGUUAAAAAGACAAGAAGACCCUUUUAAGCUUAAUUUUUAUCUCCUAUUUUUACUUUUCUUUUAGAGAAAGAUAUAGUUUUUUGGUUAAUAAAAUUUGGUUGGGGUGACUGAAGAAGAUUGAAUCUUCUCUGUUUUUGUGUACUGUGGGUUUAAGAUUGACCCAAAAUUUUUGGUUAGAAAAAUUAGUUACUCAAGGGAUAACAGCGUAAUCUCUUCAGAGAGUUCUUAUUGAAGAAGAGGAUUGCGACCUCGAUGUUGACUUACUUUCUCCUUAUAAGGUGCAGAAGCUGUAAGGGUUGGUCUGUUCGACCAUUAAAAUAGU